rnacentral:rRNA from 1 species
CGUUCUUAGUUCGUGGAGUGAUCUGUCUGCUUAAUUGCGUUUCAAAUAUAUUUUAUUAUAUAACGAGUCUACAAAGGAGUGGUUCAUUAACAGACAAUCAUAUCUUUGAGCGUCUGGAAUCUACUCUAUUUGGCUCAAUUGAACGCAACGGACGUGAUCGCGAGUCCUUGUUGAACUUCAGUAUAUAUUGACUAUCCCCGUAGGAAGGGAUUGGCAAUAAUUGAAUGUUCGCUUUCUAUUAGGUGUGUAUAUAUAGUCUCAAAAUUGCAUGUAUUUGUAAUGGCGAGUAAUAUGUACUAUCCUAUAGGAAAACUCGGGCGACCGCUGUAAUAUUUCUCUUUAAAACAGAGGAAGAUUGCGGCAAUAACAGGUCUGUGAUGCCCUCAGAUGUCCCGGGCCGCACACGUGCUACAUUGAUUAGCGCAGUGCGCAUACUUUCAAUAUGAUACAUUAGAUUGGAUUGUUCUGUUGAGCUCCAUCUAAUACUAUCCGGCUUGAGAAGGCUGGGUAAUCAAUUGUAAGUGCUGGUUCCUCCUCCCGUUGAGCAUUUUAAUAAUGGCCUCUCUACAUCCCUAGCAAUAUGCCUAGUGCGAUUGUAGUUGAGCCUUGCCAUUUAUGCAA